GGCCCGAGUUGUAAUUUGCAGAGGAUGCUUUUGGUGCGGUGCCUUCCAAGUUCCCUAGAACGGGACGCCAGAGAGGGUGAGAGCCCCGUACAGUUGGACACCAAGCCUUUGUAAAGCUCCUUCGACGAGUCGAGUAGUUUGGGAAUGCUGCUCAAAAUGGGAGGUAUAUUUCUUCUAAAGCUAAAUACCGGCCAGAGACCGAUAGCGCACAAGUAGAGUGAUCGAAAGAUGAAAAGCACUUUGAAAAGAGGGUUAAACAGCACGUGAAAUUGUUAAAAGGGAAGCGCUUGUGACCAGACUUGCGUCCGGUGAAUCACCCAGCUCUCGCGGCUGGGGCACUUCGCCGGCUCAGGCCAGCAUCAGCUCGCUGUCGGGGACAAAAGCUUCAGGAACGUAGCUCUCUUCGGGGAGUGUUAUAGCCUGUUGCACAAUACCCUUCGGCGGGCUGAGGUACGCGCUCCGCAAGGAUGCUGGCAUAAUGGUCAUCAGCGACCCGUCUUGAAACACGGACCAAGGAGUCAACCUUAUGUGCGAGUGUUCG
rnacentral:rRNA from 1 species